UUACUAUGCCCACUUAUUCGUAAGUAAUUUUGGGAUUUUAAUUAAAGAGCUGACUUCACCAGGAAAUUUGUUAGCUUUAUUAUUCUACAGGUAACAGGUUUUAUCUUUUUUUUUUAUUCUAUUGAAAGAAACUCAAAUUUAUGUAGGUACCAUUAAGAAAUUGAACUUUAUCAUGUAUUCUGAUUCGUAUGCUUGCUUCACCUCAUUCCUUUAUCUUGCCCAAUUCAAUGUAGAUCCAUUUUAGAUAAUCAAUUAAUAUCGCCGGUUCUGUUUCUUCUCGAUCUACAUUGUCUUAUUUUCUGGCCAUACUUGUUUCCUAGAUUUAGCCAUAAAAUUUGUUUAGCUUUUUAGUACGUAACUUAGAAUUACCAUUUAAUUUUCUCCACAUUGACUCCAUGAAAGCAAAUCAGUUUUUUCAUCAACCGUUUAUUGCAUUUCUUUCGUGGAAGACUUAUCAUGGGCUGAACAUACGUUCCAGCAGCAAUCAUGCAUAUUAGAUACAACAGAUGCCAAGAAGCAUAUGAGAGCGGAGCUUAAACCCGAAUGAGGCUCCGAUCUGCCGCUUGCACUUUGGUGAUUAGGUACUUGAAGUCAUUUCUAUUGAACAAUGCACAGGUCGCUUCCGUCCAUCCCAUUUUAAAUUACGCAUCUGAAUAUCUCGUCUGGGAAGUCACUAAUCCAAAAACAACUUCUACAAAAGUUGUUGAGUUCGGAGGUGGAAAUUGGAUAGUAAGCAACAAUUUGACUUUGACCGUAACCUUCAAGAUUAGUUGAAAUUUAAAUCGACUUUUUUAAAUAGAACCUCCUGAAUAUUAAUUGUUGGUCCCGAAUUUAAAAGGCGUGUAUAAUUGUUUAUUUAGAGGCUAUUUUAACGAUAAAAUAUUAAAUAACAUUGGAUAAUCAGGAAAGAAUAAAUUUUUAUGGAGAACAACACUGAUACUUUGGGUCGUCCUGCCAUUAAAUUCAGGUCUCCAUUGAAAGUUUUUGGCUAAUUAUUUAAUAUCCUUUAGAGUUUUGUCAUUGAAAUAAUCUCUGAACGUACCAAGUAAAGUAACUCAAACACCCAUCCGAAUGUAAAAUUUUAUGCUCUUUUCUAAUUCUGGUUCAAAAAUAGGGGUUUCUAUGAUCUAUCGAUCUUCAAAGGAACUCAUAGUGAAAGUCAAAUCACUAUUACAAAGGUUAUUUUUGAAUUGGUACUUCUCUUAACUAGAUAUUUAGCUCGAUAAUUUAAUAGGCCAAUUAAUUUUUGAUCCAUUAGGACACCAUGUUUCUCCUCAAACGUUUCAGGCAAACCCGUCUGAUUAGAAACUUCGAAAAGACAACGGAAAACUAUCCAAUGACCUGCUGAUUAAAGUUGUUUGGAUAUCAACGCCUCCACUAAAGCAGCGCGAUUUGUGAGAUUCUGUGAUGCUUUCAAUAUUCCACUUAUCACAUUCGUAGAUGUUCCAGGGUUCCUUCCAGGUACCAAUCAAGAAUACAAUGGCAUAAUUAGACACGGGGCAAAACUUCUCUAUGCAUACGCUGAAGCAACUGUACCUAAGCUAACAGUUAUUACGAGAAAGGGUUACGGAGGUGCUUAUGAUGUAAUGGCUUCUAAACAUCUCCGAGGUGAUGUAAACUAUGCAUGGCCGACCGCUGAAAUUGCAGUAAUGGGAGCUAAAGGAGCUGUUUCGAUCUUAUACAAAGGCAAAUCUAACCAACAAAAAUACGAAGAAGAAUAUAUCGAAAAAUUUGGGAAUCCUUUCCCAGCUGCAAUACGUGGUAAGGAGAGUUUAAUAUUA